rnacentral:rRNA from 1 species
UACAGAGGUGGCAAGUGUUGUUCGGAAUUACUGGGCGUAAAGGGCGCGUAGGCGGCCUUCUAAGUCGGACGUGAAAGCCCCAGGCUUAACCUGGGAACUGCGUCCGAUACUGGGAGGCUUGGAUUCGGGAGAGGGAUGUGGAAUUCCAGGUGUAGCGGUGAAAUGCGUAGAUAUCUGGAGGAACACCGGUGGCGAAGGCGGCAUCCUGGACCGAGAUCGACGCUGAGGCGCGAAAGCUAGGGGAGCAAACGGG